GUCUUUCUGUAGCUCAGUUGGUUAGAGCGCUGUACUGUAUAAUUGCAGGGUCGCAGGUUCGAUUCCUGCAAAGGCCC